AACAGGUGUAGCAAUACAUGCUGACGAGUGGCAGACGGGUGAGGAACACGUACGCAACCUCCCUCAAACCGGGGCACAACCUUGAGAAAUCAGGGCUAAUUCCCCAUAACAUUGCGAAAGGGCAUCUGAUUGCAAUUAAAGAUUUAUCAGUUUGAGAUGGGCGUGCGUUCGAUUAGCUAGUUGGUAAGGUAACGGCUUACCAAGGCAACGAUCGAUAGCUGGUGUGAGAGCACGACCAGCCACACGGGCACUGAGAUACGGGCCCGACUCCUACGGGAGGCAGCAGUAAGGAAUAUUGGUCAAUGGACGCAAGUCUGAACCAGCCAUGCCGCGUGUGGGAUGAAGGUCCUCUGGAUUGUAAACCUCUUUUAUCUGUGAAUAAACGUCCUUUUUCUAAGGGAUUUGAAGGUAAUAGAUGAAUAAGCACCGGCUAACUCCGUGCCAGCAGCCGCGGUAAUACGGAGGGUGCAAGCGUUAUCCGGAUUUACUGGGUUUAAAGGGUGCGUAGGUGGGUUGGGAAGUCAGUGGUGAAAUACUUUCGCUUAACGAAGGAACUGCCAUUGAUACUAUCAAUCUUGAAUGUAGUGGAGGUAGGCGGAAUGCGUCAUGUAGCGGUGAAAUGCUUAGAUAUGACGCAGAACACCAAUUGCGAAGGCAGCUUGCUACACUACUAUUGACACUG
rnacentral:rRNA from 1 species